GCUCUUAAAGCGCACACUUCCUGCAGGCGCCGCCCCACGCGGCCCCCGCCCGAAUCAGAGCUUGGGGUUUGGGGGCUUGGGGCCGGGACCCAGAGCCAAGCUUCAGCUUUUGGAGAAAUCAGUCCCAAGUGACCAGAUGAAAAAUGGCUCGCAAAGCAACAUGUGAAUUCCGGCUAGGAGAAUGGCGUUCAAGGGGUUAAUGAAGCGCUUGGUUGCCCGGAGUCUGCAGUGAGGUGCCUCAACCAAAAGCUGCUUUUCAAAGACCCUUUUACUCGCGGCUAGACACUGUUUUAAGAAACACAGAGAGAGAAGAUGGCUUGAAGAUCACCUAAAGUCACUGCCAUCUACUUAGAUCAAGAAGCUUCCAGGGUUUGAACUCAGGUUGUCGGGUUUGCAUGCCAAGCUGAGUCAUCUCACCUAUCACCUGCAUUUUCAUGUCACAGAAGAUGUACUGCACGGAAAAAUCACAGCAAUCAACAGCUGACUCAAAACGUGAGUCACAAAAAUUAAGAAAGAGCACCAUCUCAAUGGAGAGAGCACCAUCUCAAUGGAGAGAGCACUGGAGCGCCGUAUUUACAGAAAGGGUAAGCACAAGUGGCCCUGGCACCUGAGGAUCAUGAUGGCUCUUCAGUUAGCUGCCAGCGCGCAAUAUAAAUCCUUGCUAUGUGAGCAAGUUGGAUCCAAUUCUUCAUCAAAGGUACUGUGCUAUGGAGGCUGUCAUAUGCUCCGCGUCAUAUGAAUCCACAUCCAUAGUCCAACGGCCAGAGGAAGGGGAUUGGCAGGGACGGAAGACAAACCUUUAGAAAUGCUGUGGAGAAAAGGCCACC
rnacentral:lncRNA from 1 species